AGAGCCCUUUAUCCUUCCAGGAUCCCAGCUGUGCCACCUGUGUACACCCUUGGUAGAGCCCUCUAUAUAAGGUUACUAACAACUUAAACCGUCUGGGGACGGUGUAAGUUGUUAGUGACCUUAUAAACGCCAACAAGCAGCAUCAUCACUGUUACUCGGACAUAAUUAACUACACGUUUCUGGUUAUAAGAUUCUAGGUUAUCUAUGCACCUUAGUGAGGCAGCUGCCACACUCCAGGAGGUUUACUAAAAUGGCAGAGCAGAAUGGAGACGUGAUGAAUCCAUUUUUAAAAGGACGGGGUAUAAUCCAAGGCAGUGGAAUGAAAGUUAUUGGUUCUAGUACUUCUUCUGGAUCAAACACCAGUAUGUCUGCUCGGUUGCCAUCUUUUCGUGGACCACGUGACCUGACUUUGUCGGCAUCAUCGUCUGCAAUUCCUGUGAAACCUAGCCUUAUGACUAGAACUCGCAAAACAUUUUCACCAAAUAUUCCUGUUAGAAGAGGGAAAACUGAAAGUGUGAUGUCUUCCUACCUCAGCUGG